rnacentral:rRNA from 1 species
UACGUAGGGUGCAAGCGUUGUCCGGAAUUAUUGGGCGUAAAGGGCUCGUAGGCGGUUUGUCGCGUCGGGAGUGAAAACACCGGGCUUAACUCGGUGCUUGCUUUCGAUACGGGCAGACUAGAGGUAUGCAGGGGAGAACGGAAUUCCUGGUGUAGCGGUGAAAUGCGCAGAUAUCAGGAGGAACACCGGUGGCGAAGGCGGGUCUCUGGGCCGAUACUGACGCUGAGGAGCGAAAGCGUGGGGAGCGAACAGG